UGCCGCACGGGGGUGGGCACCACCCAGCAAGCCCGCUUCAGAGCGGACGGAGAGGGCGGCCCUGGUCCUGCUCCAACCGACUGGCCUCCCGUCCCGGGAUUUGCCGUCGUGGCCUCUCUGCUUGUCUGGGCCCAUUCGGGCCCGAGACCCUCACUCCAGUUGGUACAUGAGGUCGCACCCUUAGCCCCCUGUUGAGAGUUUAAAUCACUCCGUAGGAGCCUGCCUUGGCAUCCAUUCCGUGUGGCCGAGCAGCCCGCGGGGCCUUGAUCUCGCACGUCCCCCCCUCCCUCCCACAGGUCCCAACAGGUGCACACCCUAAUAACGGCCCGGGGGCCUUGACCUCGCACCAGCUGCUCCCGCAGACUCGUGUCCCUGAGGGUCCCGGCAUCUCGUGCCCCAGGCCCAGCACUAAGCUGGGGGUCCCGGGCCCCACCGCCCGGGAAGUCUGGUCCCGCAGGCAGACGCACUGGAGACGGGACCCACCAUCCACCGACAGGGCUGUCCCGUGCCGCCACUGGUCUACAGUCUUCCUCAUGGCGCCUGGUGUGACCCUCCCACAUCUCCAGUCGCCGUUUCUGGUCGUGCUCCCUGGCAGCAGGCCACAAACUCGCUUCCCAGCACACAGUGCCAGGCUCUCACUGCCUCAGGGCCCUUGC